rnacentral:rRNA from 1 species
GGGUGAGAACACGUGCUAAUUACCCUUCAGAGUGGAAUACCAAUGGAGAAAUUGGCUAAGGCCGGAGACGCAUGGAAUCGCAUGAGUCCGUUGUGAAAGGGGCCUCAAAGCCCCACUGAAGGAUGAGGGUGCGGAACAUUAGUUAGUUGGUAGGGUAAUGGCCUACCAAGACUAUGAUGUUUAGCCGGGUCGAGAGACUGAACGGCCACAUUGGGACUGAGAUACGGCCCAAACUCCUACGGGAGGCAGCAGUAGGGAAUAUUCCACAAUGAGCGAAAGCUUGAUGGAGCGACACAGCGUGCACGAUGAAGGUCUUCGGAUUGUAAAGUGCUGUUAUAAGGGAAGAACACUCAGAGGAGGAAAUGCCUUUGAGCUGACGGUACCUUGUCAGAAAGCGAUGGCUAACUAUGUGCCAGCAGCCGCGGUAAUACAUAGGUCGCAAGCGUUAUCCGGAAUUAUUGGGCGUAAAGCGUUCGUAGGCUGUUUAUUAAGUCUGGAGUCAAAUCCCGGGGCUCAACCCCGGCUCGCUUUGGAUACUGAUAAACUAGAGUUGGAUAGAGGUAAGCGGAAUUCCAUGUGAAGCGGUGAAAUGCGUAGAUAUAUGGAAGAACACCAAAGGCGAAGGCAGCUUACUGGGUCUAUACUGACGCUGAGGGACGAAAGCGUGGGGAGCAAACAGGAUUAGAUACCCUGGUAGUCCACGCCGUAAACGAUGAUCAUUAGUCGGUGGAGAGUUCACUGACGCAGCUAACGCAUUAAAUGAUCCGCCUGAGUAGUAUGCUCGCAAGAGUGAAACUUAAAGGAAUUGACCGGGACCCGCACAAGCGGUGGAGCAUGUGGUUUAAUUUGAAGAUACACGGAGAACCUUACCCACUCUUGACAUCUUCCGCAAAGCUAUAGAGA